rnacentral:lncRNA from 1 species
AAAUUGUUAAAUAUUUCAGGAAAACUUUCUGAAAUAUAAUUUCUCCGUACAAUGAAACAGUUUUUUUCAUAUAUCUAUAAAUAGAUACAGGAGCCUCCAGUUAUCUAAUGAGGGUUACAUAUGGUGCAUAAUUUUAAUACCAUAUUUGUUUCAUCUUACUUCAAAUUUGAAAGUACUUUUGCUAUAAGUUUCCUAAAAGUAUUUAAUACUUUUUUUUUUCAAUUUAGAUUAAAUCUCUUGAUGAACAGUGUGUGGUUGGCAAAAUUUCCAAGCACUGGACUGGAAUUUUGAGAGAGGCAUUUACAGACGCUGAUAACUUUGGAAUCCAGUUCCCUUUAGACCUUGAUGUUAAAAUGAAAGCUGUAAUGAUUGUAGGCAUAUGUGGAAAAAAUUUAGUGAAACAAGGAAACUUUACCAUGACUCAUAGUAAUUAAAUUAAACCAUCUAAUAUAGGAGUAUGAAGUACAAUAAGAGUGUACAUUCACUCAAGUGUGUAGACCUAACUACCAAAUUACAGGAAAUAAUUGGAUAUACCAGUGAUUCUGAAAUUGCCUUCACAUUAGAACCACCUAGGGACUUUAAAAACUCCAAGGACUAGUCCAUACCUCAGUUCAACUAAAUCAGAAACU